rnacentral:rRNA from 1 species
CUACGGGAGGCAGCAGUGGGGAAUCUUGCGCAAUGGGCGAAAGCCUGACGCAGCGACGCCGCGUGGGUGACGAAGGCCUUCGGGUCGUAAAACCCUGUUGCAGGGGACGAAGGAAGUGACGGUACCCUGCCAGAAAGCCCCGGCUAACUACGUGCCAGCAGCCGCGGUAAAACGUAGGGGGCGAGCGUUGUCCGGAAUUACUGGGCGUAAAGGGCUCGUAGGCGGUAACUCAAGUCAGUUGUGAAAACCGACGGCUUAACCGGAGGAUUGCAGUUGAUACUGGGUUACUUGAGGCAAGGAGAGGAAGGUGGAAUUCCCGGUGUAGCGGUGAUAUGCGUAGAUAUCGGGAGGAACCCCAGUGGCGAAGGCGGCCUUCUGGUCUUGACCUGACGCUGAGGAGCGAAAGCCAGGGUAGCGAACGGGAUUAGAAACCCGGGUAGUCC